GUUUGGGUAGUUUAUUUAAAACAUUAGUUUGUGGGGCUGAAAAUACAUUACUGUUCCAAAUA
rnacentral:tRNA from 1 species